CUACGGGUGGCUCCAGUGGGGAAUAUUGCACAAUGGAGGAAACUCUGAUGCAGCAACGCCGCGUGGAGGAUGACACUUUUCGGAGCGUAAACCCCUUUUAUAUAGGAAGAAGAUGACGGUACUAUAUGAAUAAGCGCCGGCUAACUCCUUGCCAGCAGCCGCGGUAAUAGGGAGGGCGCAAGCGUUACUCGGAAUCACUGGGCGUAAAGAGCGUGUAGGCGGAUUAAAAAGUCAGAAGUGAAAUCCUAUAGCUUAACUAUAGAACUGCUUCUGAAACUCUUAAUCUAGAAUAUGGGAGAGGUAGAUGGAAUUUCUGGUGUAGGGGUAAAAUCCGUAGAGAUCAGAAGGAAUACCGAUUGCGAAGGCGAUCUACUAGAACAUUAUUGACGCUGAGACGCGAAAGCGUGGGGAGCAAACAGGAUUAGAUACCCUCGUAGUC
rnacentral:rRNA from 1 species